GGCGGCGUGCCUAACACAUGCAAGUCGAGCGGUAACAGGUGUAGCAAUACAUGCUGACGAGCGGCGAACGGGUGAGUAAUGCUUCGGAAUCUACCCUCUAGUGGGGAAUAACCAGCCGAAAGGUUGGCUAAUACCGCAUACGUCCUACGGGAGAAAGCAGGGGAUCGUAAGACCUUGCGCUGAUGGAUGAGCCGAAGUCGGAUUAGCUAGUUGGUGGGGUAACGGCUCACCAAGGCGACGAUCCGUAGCUGGUCUGAGAGGACGACCAGCCACACUGGAACUGAGACACGGUCCANACUCCUACGGGAGGCAGCAGUGGGGAAUAUUGGACAAUGGGGGAAACCCUGAUCCAGCGACGCCGCGUGUGUGAAGAAGGCCUGCGGGUUGUAAAGCACUUUUAGUGGGGAUGAAAUGUGCAGGGUUAAUACCUCUGCAUUUUGACCUAACCCACAGAAAAAGCACCGGCUAACUCUGUGCCAGCAGCCGCGGUAAUACAGA
rnacentral:rRNA from 1 species